rnacentral:tRNA from 1 species
GGGUGAUUAGCUCAGCUGGGAGAGCACCUCCCAGUUGGUAGAGCAGUUGACUUUUAAUCAAUUGGUCGCAGGUUCGAAUCCUGCACGACCCACCA